rnacentral:rRNA from 1 species
AGAGUUUGAUCCUGGCUCAGGACGAACGCUGGCGGCGUGCUUAACACAUGCAAGUCGAGCGGUAAGGCUCCUUCGGGGGUACACGAGCGGCGAACGGGUGAGUAACACGUGAGUAAUCUGCCCUUGGCUCUGGGAUAAGCACUCGAAAGGGUGUCUAAUACCGGAUAUGACAGACCUCCGCAUGGGGUGUUUGUGGAAAGUUUUUUCGGCUGGGGAUGUGCUCGCGGCCUAUCAGCUUGUUGGUGGGGUAAUGGCCUACCAAGGCUUUGACGGGUAGCCGGCCUGAGAGGGUGACCGGUCACACUGGGACUGAGACACGGCCCAGACUCCUACGGGAGGCAGCAGUGGGGAAUAUUGCGCAAUGGGCGAAAGCCUGACGCAGCGACGCCGCGUGGGGGAUGACGGCCUUCGGGUUGUAAACCUCUUUCAGCAGGGACGAAGCGGAAGUGACGGUACCUGCAGAAGAAGCACCGGCCAACUACGUGCCAGCAGCCGCGGUAAUACGUAGGGUGCAAGCGUUGUCCGGAAUUAUUGGGCGUAAAGAGCUCGUAGGCGGUCUGUCGCGUCGGCUGUGAAAUCCCGAGGCUCAACCUCGGGUCUGCAGUCGAUACGGGCAAACUGGAGUGUUGCAGGGGAGACUGGAAUUCCUGGUGUAGCGGUGAAAUGCCUAGA